rnacentral:rRNA from 1 species
AAAGGAAUAGACGGGGACCCGCACAAGCAGCGGAGCAUGUGGUUUAAUUCGAAGCAACGCGAAGAACCUUACCAGGACUUGACAUCCCUCUGACCGGCACUUAACCGUGCCCUCUCUUCGGAGCAGAGGUGACAGGUGGUGCAUGGUUGUCGUCAGCUCGUGUCGUGAGAUGUUGGGUUAAGUCCCGCAACGAGCGCAACCCUUGUCAUUAGUUGCCAGCAUUUAAGGUGGGCACUCUAGUGAGACUGCCGGGGAUAACUCGGAGGAAGGUGGGGAUGACGUCAAAUCAUCAUGCCCCUUAUGUUCUGGGCUACACACGUGCUACAAUGGCUGGUACAACGAGACGCAAGACCGCGAGGUGGAGCAAAUCUUAAAAACCAGUCCCAGUUCGGAUUGCAGGCUGCAACUCGCCUGCAUGAAGUUGGAGUUGCUAGUAAUCGCGAAUCAGAACGUCGCGGUGAAUGCGUUCCCGGGUCUUGUACACACCGCCCGU